UACGAAGGGGGCUAGCGUUGCUCGGAAUCACUGGGCGUAAAGCGCACGUAGGCGGAUUUCUAAGUCAGGGGUGAAAUCCUGGAGCUCAACUCCAGAACUGCCUUUGAUACUGGGAAUCUCGAGUCCGGGAGAGGUGAGUGGAACUGCGAGUGUAGAGGUGAAAUUCGUAGAUAUUCGCAAGAACACCAGUGGCGAAGGCGGCUCACUGGCCCGGUACUGACGCUGAGGUGCGAAAGCGUGGGGAGCAACAGGG
rnacentral:rRNA from 1 species